UGCCCCGAGAUGAGUUCUCCCUGAGACUUUAAGUCUCCUGAAGGAACGUUGAAGACGACGACGUUGAUAGGCCGGGUGUGUAAGCGCAGCGAUGCGUUGAGCUAACCGGUACUAAUGAACCGUGAGGCUUAACCUU
rnacentral:rRNA from 2 species